AUGACCUGAAAGGACUCACCUGGCAGAGGAAAUGCAAAUGCUCCCCGGGAGAGGAAGGUUGCUGUGUGUGAUGGUUCUAGAAGCCGCAGUGUGCAGCGCCCCACAUCCGGCAUUCUUUCCCGUGGAGACCGCGGUGGGGCUGUCUUCUCGCGAGAACAGCGGCGAUGCCCCUGCCCCGUGUCAGGGACCACCGUUCGGGUGCAGUAAUACCCAACAGACCAUGCAUAACUCUUCCCCAGGUGACAGACCUCUAAUGCACCUGACCCCAACAAAACAAACUUGGCUUCAGAUUUGCCCGUGGGCCUCAGUAAAUAUUUAACAGACUGUGUCCCCCCCCCCCCCCCUUUUCUUCCCUGCGGGUAACUGGGGCUGGUGCCAUAAAUCGCUGCUUCCCUUCCUGCCGUAAGCAGCCGCUUAGCUGACAAGACUCCGAUCCUGACUUCCUGGUGCGAUGCCACUCCUGGGCUGGCAGCUCUUGGUAGUUUCGCUGGAAACCGAGGAGGAAAGAUGGGCCUGAUCUUUUGACCAGAAAGGAAUUAAAAAGAAGGUCCCUCAUGAUGGUUGCACCUGUCAGCUGCAAGGAGCUUCCUUUAAGGGUCUUCUGAGUCUGUGGGUAAACUCCAGAAGUUGGUGAUGGACAAGGAGGCCUGGUGUGCUGCAGUCCAUGGGGUUGCAAAGAGUAGGACACGACUGAGCGACUGAAUUGAACUGAGUCUUGUGGAUGUACAGCGAUUCUCAGCCGCCUUCAUGGGGACUGAUGCUGGUGGAAGCAGGCUCUCCAGAGACACACACCAGCCACAUUUCUGGAUGCUCAUGGUGGUUUUAGGAGGGCCCUGGCUGAGCACCUCCUGGAUUCCUGCAGCCUGGAUGAAGAUGGGAGACAGAGGACCGAUGCUUCCUGCCUUUCUCACUGACGGGAACUUGGAGCUCUGCCAGCUCCCCCGGGGGCUGCCUCUGAAAUAAUCUUGUUACACCUGGGAUUUUGGUGCCUUUAAUCUGAGAAAAAGUACAUAUCCAUUCAAUAAUCCAAAAGGACUUGAAAACUGUUCUUCUCUGAACUAAAGCUAGAAUGUCAUGGGAUUUAAAGAAUCAAGGCUGAGCAGUGAUGUGAAGCGUUCUGAGGUCCCGUGGAAGAUCUGCCUCUCUCCAGCCUUGGGUUCUCUGCAUUCUUGAGCAUCUCAGGGUCCAGAAGAAAAAGAAGAAAGCCUACCAGUUCUGGGAGCAGUUUGGAUGAGGAGAGCUACAAUACAUUUCAAGAGAAUCAGCCACCUGCCUCCGAGAUUAUGCCGGACCUUUGGACGGAAUCACGUGAAAUGCUGAGGACUGCCAGAGGAAACUGACCAUCUGUGUCUGUAGAAGCUGGGCAAGUGCAUUUGGCUCCCAGAGUCCCACAGGACUGGAUAGGGGGUGAUGUUAGAGCCAGUGUCACCUCUGCCUGGAGCUGCUUGAGUUUCCGUGGGCAGGUCAUUUCCUCUCGCUGUACCUUACUUUUCUCGUCUGUAUAGUGGGCUCAGUGAGUGUCCUUCAGCUCUCAGAGUCUGAACAACAGGGUUUAGGUAGUGCCACCAGAUUGACAUAAAGAACAUAUUAGCUUACAUGCUGUUUUGUGUCAGAGUAGGAAAGGGGAUAUUUAAAACUAUAUUUAAAUGUCUGUUUUAAUUAACUAAAUAUAUUUCAUUAUAUUUUAAUUUAAAGAUAUAAAAUUUUAAAGUAGAGAUUUGUCCCAGAGCUCUUAA